AGAGCCGAGGAGACGAUCGCUGCGGGCCGAUCCGAUGGUGAAGCCCGGAGAGGAAAGUCCGAACUCCGCAGGGCAGCGCGCUGGGUAACCCCCAGGCCCGGUGACGGGACGGAAAGUGCAGCAGAGAGUAGACCGCCCGCGGUUGCUCCCGGAACGGGCCACCUUGUUCCGGCGUCUCACAGUGACUGCGGGUAAGGGUGAAACGGUGCGGUAAGAGCGCACCAGCACCGGCGGCGACGUCGGUGGCUUGGCAAACCCCGCGCGGAGCAAGACCAAAUAGGGGAGCGUUCGAGGUCGGCCCGACCGAAGCUUCCGGGUAGGUCGCUGGAGGGUCUUCGGACCCGUAGAUGAAUGAUCGUCCUUCGGCACCGGCGUUCGACAGAGCGGCGGUGCCGGGGAACAGAAUUCGGCUUAUGAUCGGCUCGAUAG
rnacentral:RNase_P_RNA from 2 species